rnacentral:snRNA from 1 species
AUACUUACCUGGCAGGGGAGAUACUAUGAUCACGAAGGUGGUUUUCCUAGGGCGAGGCUUAUCCAUUGCACUCCGGAUGUGCUGACCCCUGCGAUUUCCCCAAAUGUGGGAAACUCGACUGCAUAAUUUGUGGUAGUGGGGGACUGUGUUCGCGCUCUCCCCUG